CGGCAGCGCUUGUCCUCGCUUCACGAUCUUCAGCACAUGCAUUCCAUGCCCGGACACUCAGUACCUGCCAGGCUCUGAUCUGCGACCAAGGACACCCAGAUAAGGAGAAGUUGCAAAGCCCUUAGAACAACGCCUGGAAGGUCGUUCGUGUCACGGAGCUGUGUGCUUUGCUGCUCACCACACACCGUCAACCUGUGGAGCUGCUUGAGGGGCGAGAGAGACCCAGAGGAACAAGAUCAGUUCCCGGCUAAGUGCAAGGGAGCGCAGCAGGUCACCCACCCUUCGACUUCAGCAAGGCCCAGGGCUGUGAGAGCACAGGGACUUCCGGAGGCUGCACUUGGACCAGCCCAGCUUUAGAGUUUGGGCUCCAAGCUCUAAUCCAGGGGGAAAAGAAGCUACUGUCUUUUUAUGUUCCUGAAAACUGAAUUCUCUGUGCAAAGCAGAACUGUGUGAGCGAAACCAAAGUGAGAUUACAGGCAGAGGAGAUGGAGCGAGAUCGCCCAGGAAGGCGGACAGUGGUGCUGAACCGCCCCUACCACGCAGAGCUGAAGAAGACACUUGUUGAAAAUAUUAAGUGACCUGGAACUUGCUUUAGCCUGGUGUGGUUCAUUUUCCAGUUACCACUCAGGAAAAGCAGCAGGUGGAGGCAGCGGACAAGGACCCGUCCACAAAGAACGACUGUGAGGCACAGCUUCUGCCCUUGGCGGCACACCCUUACCCCCUACGGAGCUGGCAUGCUGCUCUCCUGCCUUGGAAGGAGCCCUGUGCUGUGUGUGUCUGGGGCAGACAGUGCUUGUUGGCUGAGA